rnacentral:lncRNA from 1 species
UAUAAUAAUAAAUUUCUAAGAUAUUUUUUUUCGUCGAUGAACGAGUUAUUUGAGGAAAUAUGUUAAAAUCAUGCCAGUAACGAAGCACGUUAGGAACUAUAAGACCAAAGCGAUACAAAAAGAAUCGCAAAAUUCAUCGAAAGUCAACUUUUCCUGAGGGAGUUGUAGCCCAGUGCUUUUCCGGGAGUGAGGUUCCGUGGGUUGGAACCACUCCUUUCUUUGGCGCUCAAUUCUUUUGAAUGGGCACAUGGGUAGAACCCCUCCCCUUUAACCUGGGUUGGACCCCUCUUUUUAAAAUGGCUGGAUCCGCCCCGGUAGCCUUAUUUUCUAAAUUGCUUUUUUUUAAAUUUAUCAACGAGGCAUUUAAGGAAAUAUGUAUCAUUAUAAUUCAUUUGAUCGUUCAUUUACAAAUGAUAU